CUUCCUGCAUGUGAUUAAACUCUUUGUGUAGGGCCCCGUGUCUCCUGAUGAGCUCUGAGUGAAGAAGCAAAACCAGAUGAGCUUCUACACAGUCACUGCUCUCACCUACAGAGAGGAAGAGAUUAACUGGACUGACUGAGUGGAGGAGCGAUGGGACAGACAGCUUUUCUGCUCUUGCUGAUCUCUCUGCUGAGCUGCAGGACCAGCGGAGCCUCUCUGACUGUGAGUCCCAGCA